GCGUGUGUAUAUAUAGACGUGCAGCUUCGCUUGCCUCUUCCUCCGCUUCCUUCCGGUGGCCACCUGCUUGGCGUGACCACCGUGAUUGUUUGGCGUGGCCGUUGUGGGUGCACGAUCCUCUUCACUGAGGUUCCUGCUGCAGGAGUUCAACAGCCAGCUCAUGUGAUGUCACAGAGAAAAAAAAAAAAGAACAUCAACCGCACGCAGGAGACAACGGCUGCCGAGAACCGCUUCCGCUUCCUCUACCGUGACAUCCCAAAAGACGAGGCCUUGGGAAGUACUUGCCCAAACCCUGCAAAACUCCCGAGUCAACGGAUGCGGACAACGCAGAGAGCGGGGGCCACGUGAAGGCGGAGGUCAUUUCCGUGUCCGAAGGAUGACUGCAGAGGACAGCAUUUGACAUUAGAGGACAGCAGAACUUCAUCCAUGUUUUUUAGAUUGUACUUUGGUCAAGUAUUUUUAAAGUGACUAAGAAUAAAUUUCCAAAAAAAAGCA